CACCUCUAGCUGGUGCUUCUCGGUCUUCCAGCCAGCAUCCUGCAGUCCUGGGGAGAGAUCAUGGGUGCUGCCGGGAAUGCUGGGGACAAGGGAAGAAUUCAUUGAAAUGGCACGCAGAAGAGCGCUGGGAUGGAACA